UACGUAGGGUGCAAGCGUUGUCCGGAAUUAUUGGGCGUAAAGAGCUCGUAGGCGGUUUGUCGCGUCUGCCGUGAAAGUCCGGGGCUCAACUCCGGAUCUGCGGUGGGUACGGGCAGGCUAGAGGUAGGUAGGGGAGAAUGGAAUUCCCGGUGUAGCGGUGAAAUGCGCAGAUAUCGGGAGGAACACCGGUGGCGAAGGCGGUUCUCUGGGCCUUACCUGACGCUGAGGAGCGAAAGCGUGGGGAGCGAACAGG
rnacentral:rRNA from 1 species